AAAGUAGCCUAUGCCACCGCCAUGGAUUGGUUCAUUGCAGUGUGUUUUGCCUUU
rnacentral:ncRNA from 1 species